rnacentral:rRNA from 1 species
UCUUUAAUAGGACCUUUCCUUCGGGACAGAGGAGACAGGUGGUGCAUGGUUGUCGUCAGCUCGUGUCGUGAGAUGUUGGGUUAAGUCCCGCAACGAGCGCAACCCUUGUCAUUAGUUGCCAGCAUUUAGGAUGGGCACUCUAGUGAGACUGCCGGGGAUAACUCGGAGGAAGGUGGGGAUGACGUCAAAUCAUCAUGCCCCUUAUGUUCUGGGCUACACACGUGCUACAAUGGCUGGUACAAAGAGAAGCAAGACGGUGACGUGGAGCAAAUCUCAAAAACCAGUCCCAGUUCGGAUUGUAGGCUGCAACUCGCCUACAUGAAGUCGGAGUUGCUAGUAAUCGCGAAUCAGAAUGUCGCGGUGAAUGCGUUCCCGGGUCUUGUACACACCGCCCGUCACACCAUGGAAGUUGGGGGCGCCCGAAGUUGGCCAGUUAAUAGGUUACCUAAGGCGAAAUCAAUGACUGGGGUGAAGUCGUAACAAGGUAGCCGUAUCGGAAGGUGCGGCU